rnacentral:rRNA from 1 species
AAAUCUGGCCCUUUUGGGUCCGAGUUGUAAUUUGUAGAGGAUGCUUUUGGCAAGGUGCCGCCCGAGUUCCCUGGAACGGGACGCCACAGAGGGUGAGAGCCCCGUCUGGCUGGCCACCGAGCCUCUGUAAAGCUCCUUCGACGAGUCGAGUAGUUUGGGAAUGCUGCUCAAAAUGGGAGGUAUAUGUCUUCUAAAGCUAAAUAUUGGCCAGAGACCGAUAGCGCACAAGUAGAGUGAUCGAAAGAUGAAAAGCACCUUGAAAAGAGGGUUAAAUAGUACGUGAAAUUGUUGAAAGGGAAGCGCUUGUGACCAGACUUGGGCGCGGCGGAUGAUCCGGGGUUCUCCCCGGUGGACUUCGCCGUGUCCAGGCCAGCAUCAGUUCGUCGCGGGGGAAAAAGGCUUCGGGAACGUGGCUCCCCUGGGAGUGUUAUAGCCCGUUGCAUAAUACCCUGCGGUGGACUGAGGACCGCGCAUCUGCAAGGAUGCUGNCGUAAUG